UACGUAGGGUGCGAGCGUUGUCCGGAAUUACUGGGCGUAAAGAGCUCGUAGGCGGUUUGUCGCGUCUGCCGUGAAAGUCCGGGGCUCAACCUCCGGAUCUGCGGUGGGUACGGGCAGACUAGAGUGAUGUAGGGGAGACUGGAAUUCCUGGGUGUAGCGGUGAAAUGCGCAGAUAUCAGGAAGAACACCCGUGGCGAAGGCGGCUCGUCUGGAACGCAACUGACGCUGAGACGCGAAAGCGUGGGAGCAAACAGG
rnacentral:rRNA from 1 species